UACGUAGGGUGCAAGCGUUGUCCGGAAUUAUUGGGCGUAAAGAGCUCGUAGGCGGUUCGUCGCGUCUGCUGUGAAAACCUAAGGCUCAACCUUGGGCUUGCAGUGGGUACGGGCAGACUAGAGUGCGGUAGGGGUGACUGGAAUUCCGGGUGUAGCGGUGGAAUGCGUAGAGAUCCGGAAGAACACCGGUGGCGAAGGCGGAUCUCUGGGCCGUAACUGACGCUGAGGAGCGGAAAGCAUGGGUAGCGAACAG
rnacentral:rRNA from 1 species